GAACAUAUUCCAGGAAUAAGAGGGGGGGGGGGGGAAAGGACUGAGGAAGCAAUCGGGUCAGCUAUACUUACUACAAAGAGAGGUAUUCAGAAUCUGAGGUGACCCCUGUCAUGAGAGAGCACAUGGAAAAAGAAGGGGAGACAUUGUGGGGACACAGACACAAAGACAAACUGAUGUAUGACCAAAAAGUGAAAACUGGAUGUGGAGGAGACUAGUAUGAUGUAACAGAGAGGGACUUCCCGAGGGUCUGUGAAGAGAGGCACAAACUGGUUGGGGUUCUCAAUACGAAUGGGCAUUCCACUAGUAGACUUCACCACUUCAUCUGCUUUCAGCCACUGCAGAAAGACAUCCAGUCACAGUGUGCUUGAAACAUAACAGCAUUAUGUUACCCUAUACAGGGACGGAACUACAGGGGGUGCAGAGUACGCAGCUGCGACUGGGCCCCCAAGGGUGGGGGCCCAGCUUAAAAAAUAAAUAAAAAAAAUUUCAAUAAAA